rnacentral:lncRNA from 1 species
UUUUUUUUUUUUUUUUGCCCUCUUGAAUUUUUAACCUAAACAAUUUAGGCCUCAUUUGAUCUUUCCUCCAAAAUAUGUCUACUGGCUGAGUUAGAUUCUAAAUACUACCCUUAAUAAAUAACUAGUCACUUUUGGAGAUUUUAUCUAGAUUAUUUAGUUUUUUUUUAUCUUUUCUUUGGUAAGAAAACAAAUAGAAAUAGUCAUUUGAUCUUUCCUCCAAAAAAAUUUCUGAAUUUUUUUGUAGAAAAAUUACUGUAGCGAUUUGAUAUAUAUAAGAUAGAAAAGUGAUUGGAAAAUGUGUUUAGGGAAAACGUAAUCUUUUUUUUUUGAAAAAUUGCUUUACAAACAAAGUUUAGUUUUAGAAAAAAAAACUUAGAGGAAAAAAAGACUCGAAAAUCGCACUAGGGAAUUCAUAUUUUACUAAGUUAAUAUAUCUACCAGCUGAAUUAGAUUAUGAAUACCCUCAAUAAACUAUUCACUUUUCAUUACUUCAUCUUGACUAUUCAGUCUUUUUUUUAUCUUUUUUUCGGUAAGAAAAAGAUAGAAACAAUCACUACGUUAGAGGGUAAUCAUGUCAUUUUAGAAUGUUUUACUUGGCAAUAUGUACUUGAUUUAAAUAGGUAAUCACAAUCACCAUAAUACUAAUAAAAAGUGCAGUCCUAGAAGCUACUUCAAUCUAAGUCACAUAAAAGUUUCAUUAUCAUCUACUAUGUUGUUUCAAGGAAGUGAUGUUUCAAUAGCAAAACUAAUAUGUAUAUUAUUACGUGUUAAUUUUUGUCCAAUUAGGAUAAUGGAGUGUUUUUCUAGCAUGUCCACAAAAGUCCAAGGUGGGACUUCACAAAAUUAAAAUAUUACUAGCUGCAAACAAUUUUCUUGCUCAACCAAACAUCCUAACUAGUUACUCUUAUCUUCUAAUAAUUGGAUAUGUUAUUAAUUCAUAAGGAAGAAUAUUUUAGUUGAUUGAUGGAAACGAGGGAGUGAAGAAUAGAGAAAGAGAGAGAGAGGAAAAAAAGAAGAAGAAGAAAAGUUGUGCCCUUUGACUAUUAGAAUACGAUAGGGACGAUUCUUGUAAAAUGUGGAUUAAUUUUUAUGUGAUUGUAAUUGAUGCAAUCUAGGCCGUUGAAUUCCUGUUGAAAUUCUGAUGCAUUUUAGGCACAGCGUGGCCUGAAAGAUACCCGACCAGGAUCCGUGAGGAGCAGGGUUAGAUGCCUGACGGGGAAGGGGGAUGGCGAUAUAUAAUAAUCCCUAUUUAUGUUUACGCAAAUUUUGGGCCUCUGUCAAGUCAAACCUAUGGAUGUACUUUUCGUCAUGGCCCAAUAAGGGUGAUUCCGGUUUUAAUGACGUAAUUGCCCUUCUAGAUCAUUAUUAUUUUUUUUUAAUUUGUUAUGUUCCAUUUUUUGCUUAGAAUGGAUACCGAGACUUUUGUUUGUAUCUUAACUUUCAAGAGAUCUCAAAAAACUUCCAUUUUCUGUAAACGACUAAACAUUUUGUUAUUCAUGUUGCGUAUUGUAAGGGAAAAGCAUUAAAUUUCGUUGCUUUUGACAACAUACAAGCUCAACUCCCUUUUUCCAUUCAUAUUUAUUUCUUACUAAACUAGUUUCUUGUUGAAACUUUGUUAAAUAGUCUAACUUUUGGACUUAUUCUCGUUUUGUGCAUUUUGUCUUGUCCACUUGUUCUUUAUUUAUGCAAAGUGUAGUAUACAUAUAUUGUCAUUAUCAGUCAAGAUAUGUUUUAAUACGUGUCUAUUUAAACGUUCUAUGACUAUUAAUUAGACACUUCCAUUUCUAUGUAAUUUAUAACAGUUUUCAUUGAGUUUUGGAAACAAUUCAAUGCUUUCCCUUUUUACAAUGCUAAAAGUCGAAUUGAUAAUUCUUUCUUAGAAGUCACGUAUCCUUUCGUUUAAGAAUGCCAAUUACAAUUCGGCCAAUAAUUUAUUUGACAACAUUAAGAAAAAAGGGUCUUAUUUGUAUACUUAUUUCUCCGAAAAUAACAUCUAUGUAACUGUAAGCCCUCUUUUAUGUAUAAAUUAAUAAAGAAUUGCAUGAUAUAAUCAUCUAAAGAGGAAAUAGGAGAAGGGUUGGAUUAAAUAGUAAGUUGGAAAAAAUUAUAAAUAGAAUAUUUUGAAUUAAUAAACUUCCCACAUAUAUAUAUAUAUAUAUAUAUAUAUAUAUAUAUAAACCAUCAAAAGAAAAAAAGAGUCGAUAAGAUUCUAAAGACGAAUUACAACUUCUAACUUUUUCAAAACAAAAAGUGCUGCUCCAUAACCACAAUGCAAGAUGACAAUAUGAACAACAAUUGGUAUAUGCGCAUUCUAGUUUCAUAGAAUUGCAUAAGACAAACAUUUUUAGGAUUCCAAAACAUGGGAGGGCUUUCGCUGUCAUCCUAAAAUGUGAAACUAAUCAUGCAGGUACAUAUUAUAGUCAAAAGACAAACCAAGGGUAGAACCGUCCAACAAACGAAGACCACAACAGUGAAUUUUUAGCUUUCAAUAUCGCAUAUAGGUGACGGUCACAGACAGCAGCGACCUCAGAAAACAUGGGCUUGACCUUUGGGCUUUUACACAAAUAGUCAGUUCCCAUUACACCUAUAAACAACUAAAACGACAAAACCACCUCAUAAAGACAAAAUUUACCCUCUAUCCUUCACGUUGACCCUACUCCGCUUUCCUUAAAGCUUCGCACAAUUAAUGUGUCCUCUUCCGUCAUUCCUCCAACCCCAUUUUCGUCCAUUCUUAAAAAUGCCCCGCACCCUCCCUACUGGCGCCUGGCGCGUCUCCCUCCCCUUUCUUCUCCCAACAUUUCAAAUUUGCCAGGUCAUCGCCCCCCACGUAACUGCCAAAUAUGUGGAAUCUCUUGUUCUCUGCUUCCGGUUUCUCAUGGACCAUCGCAGCCCUCCAAUUGGAACGUCCAACGUACAUUUCUAUUUACUCGCAAAAGAUGAAGGAAACAAAUUUUAGUAUCCAAUUCCAGAUCAAUCUAAUAAAAAUCAACUGAAAUGCAAUUACUAUCGUGAUAAAAUCAAGUUUCUAAGUUAAUUAUUUUCAUAAUUUGUUUGUUGAGGUUAGCUUGAACUCAAAUCAAUGAAAAUUUAAUUUGAUAGUUACACGUAAAAAUCAUUGAUUUAAUUUGAUAAACUCUGUUUGAAUUUGACUUAAAUAACUUUGAAUCCAAAAAUUACUUCAAGCAAGCUUCAAGACCAAACUAUGCUUUAAAAGGUUUUUGACUUUAAUUGACUCCAUGGCAAGGUGUCGUUAAGUCUAAUCAAUCGUUGAAAUUGAUUACAUAAGAUGCUUUUAUUCAAAAAUUUCUUGCUUAUAUUUAAAAUAUUUUUACUUUAACAAGUUUGAAUAGUAUGUAAUGGUACACGUUUAACACUACUCAUUUAGUUGAAGUACGAAGAAAUUUCAACUUUUAGCGAUGAAUAGUUUGAUCGAUAAUUGAUAAUCAGAUCUCACACAAAUUGGUAUUAAGCCGAAUUACAUACAAGUAUUAAAAUGUGUAUUUAAAUCCAUUCAAAAAAAAAAAUCCAUUCCUAACUCAGCCAUUUUCAUUGAUUGGAUAGUCCAUGGUACACCCCAAGUCCUUCCCCUACAUCCCCAAAACUUUCUCUCUCUACAAAAAUAAGACAGAACAACAACACAACAAGAAGUCUUCCUCUUUCCUCUUUCAUCGAUCCACCCUUUUCCCUUUCUCUUUCUCUCUCUACACUCCCAUUAAUUAAUAAUUAAAAAACCCAAAAAACCAAUAAAAAAAGGCCGAAAAAAAGAAAAGAAAAGAAAAGAAAAGAAAAACACGCACAACACACACUAGCCCUCUCUCUUUGUCUCUCUCAUACUCAUAUUCUCUCUUUCAAACUUUGUACUACAACAGCAGCAGUCAGUACUAAACUAUUUUUCUAGGAGUAGUAUAUUUGACUUACCUCACUCACUCCACUCCCCAACAACAAAAUCUCACGCACUACUGCGUGUUUUUCCCCUACACAUUUUUUUUAAAAUUUUUUUAAAACUUUUAAUAUAACUGAAAAGAAAUUUGUGCCGAAACCAAAAGAAAAGCUUCUCUCUCUAGAAUUCGGCUUUGCUUCUUACUUUCUCAGCUUCUCUCUCUCUCCCUAUAUCUAUAUCUAUACAUUCAAAGGUAGAUAAAUAUAUAGAUAGAUACAGGAGGAGUUGUGGGGGGAGUGAGGGGGGGAGGGAAAUGAAUCGAAUGUGAUGGGAGGGGGAUUUUCGCAGCUGUUUCCAUGUUUCAACCCGGCGGUGGACGGGCGGGGUGAGCCGGAGGUUCUGUUUACUGCCACCGAACCGCUCGACGAAACCCUAGGUCACUCAUUCUGUUACGUCCGGUCUUCUGCCCGCUUUCUGUCCCCUACUCAUUCCGAUCGCUUCGUUUCGCCUUCGCAGUCCCUCCGGUUCGACGCCGAGCAGGUUCCGAAGCAGUCCAGACCGGCUGGUUUGCCGCCGGAGACCGGUUUUAGAACGAUUUCGGGGGCUUCCGUCAGUGCCAACACUUCCACUCCUCGGACUGUCCUCCAGCUUGACAAUAUUUACGACGAUGCCACUGCCACUGAGAUUAGUAAUACGACGACGUCCGCUGCCGCUGCUGGUGCUGGUGCGGGGAGUAGUAGUCUUCUAGGUUUUAGUGCUGGCGUCAAGGGGAGUGUUGUUAAUGGUUUUGAGAGUACGUCGUCCUUCAGCGCUUUGCCUUUGCAGCCGGUGCCACGUGGCGGAGCCGGAGAAGCUUCGGGUCAGAUGGAGCGGGCAUUUUUCAUGUCCGGUCCGAUCGAGCGCGGGGCACUCUCGGGUCCGUUGGAUAGUACCGGAGGAGGCUCCGAUGGAGGUAACAGAGUUCCAUUCUCGGCGCCCUUGGGGGGUAUGUAUGUGAAAAAGAAGAGGAGGAAGGGCAUUUCGGGGAUUCGGAAGGCAUUUUACAGGAACUUCCCAGAAAAAAAGCGACCGUGGGUGGUGCCCGUGCGAAACUUCGUAGGUGGCCGGAAGGAUGUCUCCGGCGGCGGCUCCGGUGAGCCGGAGAUGCCGUGUGACAGCAAUGUGCAGUGGGCUCUGGGGAAGGCGGGGGAGGAUCGGGUACACGUGGUUGUUUCGGAGGAGCUGGGGUGGUUAUUUGUCGGGAUUUAUGAUGGGUUUAACGGCCCUGAUGCGCCUGAAUUUUUGAUGAGUAAUUUGUACAAAGCUAUGUAUAAAGAGUUAGAGGGUUUGUUUUGGGAUAAUGAAGACACUAGUAGUAGUACUCAAGAAGUUACUUUAACUGCAGAAAAUAUAGCUUCUGUGGAGGAUUCGAACGACCCAUUGAGUUCGAAUCAGUUGGUAGAGGGCAGAGCUGUGGGGAGGGUUACGGAAAUAGAAGAAGGUGAAAGUGAGUCAAAUUUAGACGAGACUACUAGUAGGCCAUCAGUUAAGAGGGUGACUUUCCAAUCAGGGGAGAUCCAGGUUAGGAGGAGGAGAUUAUGGGAAUUUCUGGCAGAAGAGGAUCCGGAAGACGGACUUGAUCUUUCGGGUUCAGAUAGAUUUGCAUUUUCAGUUGAUGAUGCAAUUAGUGUUAGCAACGCUGGAUCAGCAGUCAGUAGAAGAUCACUGUUAUUGUCGAAAUUGAAGCAUGGAUUGUUGAUUAAGCACAAGGAGAGUGGGAGUUUGUUUCCUUGGAGGUUUGGUUUGGCCGGAAAAGAGAAGCAGGAAGUGGAAGUAGAGGAGAAUCGAGUGGCAGAACAGAUUAGUUGUAGAAGUGGGAGAAUGCGGAAGGUGGGACCUGUUGAUCAUGACUUGGUGUUGAGGGCAAUGUCGAGGGCUCUUGAAGUGACUGAGCAUGCAUAUUUGGAUAUGACCGAUAAGGUUCUUGAUCGGUAUCCAGAGCUUGCACUGAUGGGCUCUUGUUUAUUAGUGGCGUUGAUGAGGGAUGAGGAUGUAUAUGUGAUGAAUGUAGGUGACAGUCGUGCAAUUGUGGCACAGUAUGAGCCUGAUGAAGUUAGCUCCAGUGCACAAUUGAAAGUUCCAGGUGGCAGUGGGUCAAAUUCGGAGGGAGGUAUAUUUGAUGAAUCAGCAGAUGCCACUGAAAGAGAAACUGAGGUGGCAAAUGAGGCUUCUUUUCAAGCUAUGAAGUUGACGGCAUUGCAGUUGUCCACUGAUCACAGCACUAGCAUUCAGGAAGUAAGUGUUUGUAAUUUUUUUUAAAUCUCUUCACUAAUGUAUUAGCUUUUUAUCGCUAUUUUGUUGUCACUCAGUGAAUAACAAUCUCUUUCAGUUGUGCUCCUCUGGCAGUUGCUUGCAUAGUUUGUUAUGGCAGGGAUUAGGAUACUUGAAUCUAAACAUUAUUUAGUUUAUACUUGUAGUGCUAGCUAGAAGAAUUGGCAGUACCCUUUUUUUCUUUAGCUGAAUUUCAUCUUUGCUGACUAGUAGGAUUCAAUCUGCCUUCCUAUUUUAGGUUCCAUUUUGUUUUAAUGCGCUUAGAGCAGUAUCUCUGAGCAUAAUAAACCAUCAACGUGGCAGAUGUUUAAUGUACACUGCUAGCAGAAUGUCUGAGGCAAUUAGCUUUUCUGUGAGAGUAGUAAGGUUUGUUGUGCGGCUGUUGUACCUGUGAAGAAAUUAUUGACUGUAUCAGGAAGGUGCAAGUUUUUUGGUUGUGAGUUUUUAAGUACUGCAAAUGUAAAUUGAGUGUAAGAACAAGUCAAUUUGAUUGGUAAGGGUUCUGAAUUGAUGAUUUGGUUGCUUGAGUUCAAGCUUCUGAAUGGAUGAUCAGGAAGUUACCCUUUGUCUCUUUCAGUGUUACCUUUUAUCCACUCUCAUCUUCAGAUUAUUCAAUUGCAAAAGAAAACAAGAAAAUAGAGCCAGCUUCUGACAGCUAGUUUCCUUGUCCUUGUUUGGACUAUUAGUUGGUGGCCAACUUUAUUAAACACCGAUGAUCUGUUUGACUAAUACUGAACUAUGGAAUAUUACAUUAAGUCCUAGAAUAUGUUUUCUAACUUGAUCUUGCAAAUACAGCUUGUCUUUCCUUUUCGUUUUAGCCCAUUAUCACAUGAGAUCUCUAGCUUGUAGUAGCUUUGCUGGUGGGUCCUUCAGAGUAUGUAUCUUGUUUGAAUUGAAGAAGAAGAACAACUGAUAAAUGAGCAAUUUUUUUGGUUUUUGAUGUUUUAGUUAUAGUGAUUUAGGGCCUCAUGCAGUGAGGUUGUUAUAUUUUAUAGCGUCAACAAGGAGUCCUCUAUUUUUCAAUUCCAAUUUGUAUGAACCACUGGAAAGCAACUCUGUAUAUACUAUACACCAUGCACCACUUCUAUAAGCACCUGGUUUGUAUUUAGAGUCGGUGUGAAAGUGACUUGUUGAUUGAGGACAAGGUGACUACAUUAAUUCACCUUGUGGAUGGAUUUAAAUAAGGCAAUAAUAUCACUAUCUUGCUUAUUUUUUAUUUCCAAAUAUCAUGAAUGUAAAUCAAAGGUGGUUAGAAAUUGCGAAGACCAAAUUAUGGUUAAUUUUUUAAUUUGUCAUGAAUCUCUUCCUUAUCCGAUUAGCAUGCUGCAAGGCCUCUACUUCUCGGUACAGGAGUCAACUUUGCAAAUAUCAUCUUUUCUUUGUUGUUUUCAAUGGCUUGGUGAAGUACAAUAGCUGCUGUAGGCAAUGCAUGGGUAAUACUCUAUGUUAACUAUUAUGAUUGAAAUCUUCAAGUUAUGAUUGCAGUAAGCAAUGCAUUGGUGUUAUUUUGUGUGUCCAUACUUUUACAAGAAAGUCAGCAAUAACGGUUUUUGCGCUGUUUUACACAGCAUAUAUCUGUAUAAUUUGUCCAGUCUAGAUGAUAGUAUGAUACAUUAUCUUCAUAUCUGUUAUUGGGCAAACUUACGGUAAGAAUGGACCUUUCUCUUUCUGUGCAAUAUUAUACAAUCUCUUUGUGGGGCCUUCCCCCUCUAUGCAAUAUCAGAGGACCUUUCAGGCUUUUUAAACUAUUAUUCAUGUUUUGAGUCAUAGUCCUGUUGCAAGAUAGAGAGACAGUACUCCUUUCAAUUUCCUGUUCUCCUAUAUGACUGAGAUAUCAAUUAUAUGACAGUAAACCUCUAAUUUAUGAUUUACUAGUUUCUGUGGAAGUAUUCCAUUCUUACCUUUAGUGUUUUUAGUACAUUACGAAUCUUAACAUUUGAAGUUGGUCUAUUUAGAGAUAAUAGUUUUGGGACUACUAUGGGCAAUAAAAAAGAGAUGACAAGAUUAUGAUACUCUGCAUGCACUUAAUAUCAUUUGCAUGUUGGGUACUGGAUGGCAACUUUUCCAUUUUAUCUACAAAUUGCAUUGCUCAAUAUCAUUCUCUUAAUAUCCUUUUUGCAAGUUUAUUGUGCAUGCAGUUAUUUAUUUUGUGAAGUUGCCUAUCCUGGACCCUUUUUAUGGGAUAAGCGCAUGAUUCAGUCCCUCCCUCAUCCCCCGCAACAAAAGGGGGGGGGGGGGUAGUCUGAUUUAUGCAGUUUAAGGUAUUAAAAUGGGAUAAUAUUCAUUUCAUUUGCUUGUUUGAUGUUGCAUUCAUUGUCCUGUUCCUGCUUUUUUUGCUUUCAUUUUUUUUAAUCCUGUUUCUGUUUAAUAGCAUUUGAUUAUCUUUUUCUACUAUCUAAACUCAAAAGCAUUCUAAUUAUGAUUUUGUAACCUAUCCUUGGAGUUUGUGAAUGGAUUCUUUUCUUCUGACUUGUGUCAGGAAAUCAUUAGGAUCAAGAAUGAACACCCUGAUGACAACAAUUGCAUUGUCAAUGAUAGAGUUAAAGGUCGUUUAAAAGUUACCCGUGCAUUUGGAGCUGGUUUCCUUAAGCAGGUUUGCUUUUAACUUCUGUAUUUUGCAGUUAUUAUCUGUGCUCUAAUCAUGUCCAUCAGAAUAAAGAUGAGAGUUGUUAGAAAUUUGUUUGGCAUACUGUGCAUGGUCCAGUUUAAGGUCACUUUAUAACUUUAGUUUCCUUUGGAGAGAGGCACUUUCCGAGUAUUUAUGAAGCGAGCAAAAAGGAGAACUCCAGAUCAUGAUUGACGUCAAUGGGUACUGUUUUCAUGUACUAUCUGUCGAAUUUCACUACUAAUCUGUCAUCUUAUCUGCUGUCAUCCUCUCCAUAUUGAGCAAUAUAUCCAAUCGACUAUUCUCUCUGUCCUUUGUGAAACAUUGUUCUCCUCCCCCUCCCUUGAAAACACCAUUGGCAAAAACAUCCUGACUGGAUACUCCCAAUCUUUGUUUCGAAUUGUUGCAAUGACUAAAAGAUGGAAAUUUAGAAAUCUUUAAACUUUGAGAUUGGGUUUUUUUUUCUUUUUCUUAACUGCACCACGAACACCUGGAAAUGUGAAGCAUCCUGAUGCACGCUUAUGUAGUAAUGUAUGCCAACGGCAUACUAUCACUCAUUUUAUAUCUUGGACAUUGUUUUAAUAUGCGUUGCUAGUCUGAAUAACAUUUUGAGAUGUCUGUUUCUGCAGCCUAAGUGGAAUGAUCCCUUACUGGAAAUGUUUCGGAAUGACUACAUUGGAACUGCUCCUUAUAUCUCCUGUUCACCUUCUCUUCGGCACCAUAAACUGUGUCCCAGAGAUCAGUUUUUGGUCCUGUCAUCUGAUGGAUUGUAUCAGUACUUGAGCAACCAGGAAGUGGUUUCUUUUGUUGAAAAUUUCAUGGAGAAGUUUCCAGAUGGCGACCCUGCUCAGCACCUGAUAGAAGAGCUUUUGUUACGUGCAGCUAAAAAAGCAGGUAUAUUCACUCUGCUUGCCCUGAUAGAAGUUGGUAUUAAAACUUUUUAUUGAUUCCGUCAAAAGCAGCGAAUUUUCUUUUUAACAUUGACACAUCAUGGGAGUAGCAUGGGGACUCGAGGAAAGAUAUGUUUGCUAAACUCCUCUUUAAACUUGGUUUAUCUGGCUUGUCUGCUGUCAAUAUAUGUGAAAUUAUUGAUGCAGUCUGGAUUAUAGGUUUUGGAAACUUUGAAGGUUGCUAAUUAUUGGUGGGUAGUGUCCAACUCCUUUCUGUAUUGUACUAUGAAUUGCAAUCUUUGUCCUUCAAACCAUCCUGAGAACACUUUAUCAACAAGGGAAAAAAUACAUUGUGGACUAAGUUGGUGUUAAACUUACUGUAAAUUAGGACAGGUUUCAUUAUAGAGCUAUUUGAUCUUUGCAAAUAGUGAAUCCAACAAUUAAUUGGAUGAUAUUACUAAAAACAGUUUCCUACUUUUUCACAAGUAAUCAUUAUGUAAGUUUAAGUACUUACUAGGCAAUCAUGCAUCACAUGUGUGAAAGAGUUCUUUUUGAAAUGGUUUUAUGUGUUAUCAAAUUUUGGCCUGCUUCCAUUUCCCAACUUCACCCUCCCUUCUCCACCGAAUAACGGUGGCAGGUGCUUAGAUAUGUAAGUUUUGCCACUAAAUGCCCAAAAAGUUUAUGAUCACUAUAACAGUGGCGGAAUUUUAUCACGAGACCGUAUGAAGUUACAAAACUAAUCCAUGUCAUUGUUUUACGUGAUCUUGAUAUUACUCAGUCUGGUAUUUACCCGUGCAGUAGAUUUUUAAGCCCCCUCACAAAAAUAACUUCUCCUCUAUAAGGAAAUAGCACAUGAGCCAUCUCCUGGAAAUAAUAAUGUUUCCUUUAGCAUCAGGUGUUGGGCCUGGAUUCUUGUUGUUCACUCCUGCGAUGUUCUUUUGCUGCAUAUGCUUUGUAGCUUAAUACAAGAGUUGCGCAUCCUCUUAAUGCAUGAGAAAACAUCUAGGCCAGCAUGGUAAGGAUAGAAUUAUCUUUUGUCUGCAGGAAUGGAUUUUCAUGAACUACUGGACAUCCCCCAAGGUGAUCGGAGGAAGUACCAUGAUGAUGUCACUGUGAUGGUGAUAUCACUUGAAGGAAGAAUUUGGAAGUCAUCAGGAAAAUACCCUUGAGUUGGCAUAACUGGUAGAAUCUCUAAAUGGUCUGUGUCUCUAGAGCUUCGAUCCUCCGGCUGUGUUGACAGCAGGGAUUAGGGAAGUUUAAGAACCAAUUUUCUUGGUUAUCAAAUUAUAAGCAUAGAGUUCGUGGGGAAUCCUGAGAGCAGGAUCAUCAAUGCUCAAAGCAAUGUGAAAAAAAUGGGUCAGGGAAAGGUAUAGAAAUUUUUGUAGUUGGGACCGCUGGAAAGUGCUUUUAGGCAACAAAGUAACAGGAAAAUUUCUUUUCCUUCUCUUUUUUAUUUGGUUCUAAAUUUUGCAUAGAUGCACGAUAUGUGAUUCAUUGUGUAUCUCUUCGUUUCGCAUUUUAGCGCCAAAAGCUGUGUUUGUAAGAUGGUGGGUUGGGGAGGGGUUUAGAACAGUACUUAGAUCCGCUAUAGUCAAAAGGCGAGAAUUUGUAAUUUUGGAGGUGGGGCUUCCACCUAUGCGGCUUAUAAAUAGAAAUAUUUUACCCAAGAUGUGUCUGUAAAAUUCAGCAACGUUGCAGACCACUUGAAGAAACAGUACAGUUGUUGGUGUUUUGCCCCUUAGGAGCAAAAUCCUGAUGCUACAAAUCACAGCAAAAACUCUGGCUUACUUUUAUGGUAAAACAACCUGGGCAUUUUUUUUUUUUUUUGACAAAUUUGCACUAAUAACCAAUGGUAACAGGGGCUGUGGUUCUCGUACAUAAAAAUAUGCAUGCAGGUUUAGCACUCCAGUUUCAGUUGGUUCAUUCGAUGAUGGCUUCUUCCUCCAUAUAUAUAGGGUUGAGUGAAACUAGACUUUCGGCAUAAAUUCGACCUUCAAGCAAGGUUGAGGACUCGAAAAUGUCAUGCUCCUUGAGUUCUGCUGCUUCUAGUUCAUCCGGGAGGAGAGAGCAUGAAAUCAACCGCCCGGAUCUACUCUCCAGAAGAAGUUGCUUGUCAUCCUUCCAAAGGCAGAGCGGACGACGAAUUCCAGUUGUAAAAGGCCCCAGGGAGAAUUUCUUCGUCCAGGACUCUUCAACCCCGUACUCCAUCAUUACCCAUAUAUCAAUGACCUGUGGAGGGGCUGGGUGCUCCUCCGACAAGGAGGUGCAUAAAAUUAAGGCCAAGGAAUCAUUUAAGCUAACAAAACUGGGUUCUUUGUUUUCAACAAGACCUAAAUCUCCAACACAACUAGGAGGGUAGUGGAUCACGUCAAACACCUCGGCCCUCAUAUCAAAAGAAAGGAUACAGUCAGUGUCACAGGGUUGAGCGAAGGCAUGCCAGGCACGCCAGUGGAAGCGUCCCUGAAAUAACAGGUUGCAUCGGGAAAAACAAUGAUAGAAGGGCAAGAUCACAUCUCUUAAUUCUCUCCAAGAAUUUGUGUUGAGAGAGUAUAGUUCAGCUUGGUAUUGACGGUCAGGCCUAUACUCUAUAGCUUCCCAAUACAGAAUCCUAACAACCUUGUAAUCAUUGGUGGAUGGAUCAAAUCCGAUUCCUACACCAUCUGUCAUAGGGCGAUAAUUUUCAGGGCAUCCGAAGGGGCUGGGAGGAAGUUUCCUCAGUUCACGAGUGGCAGGAUUGCAGAGAUAUAUGUCCAUGCCAUCGGUAAUGCAAACGAUGCCAUUGCAUGGACCAAUCAAGUGGGCAGCUUCAAGAUUGCGAUGGUAGAACCAGGUAACUUCUAUAGGUGGGCGAAGACAUAUAGAUAGAGAUUUUUCUGCUUCAUCAUUGUUGGAAUGGAAGGAUAUCACGGUUUGGUUCUCGUGCUCGAUGUAGCGCUUGAGCAUGACAUGCUUAUUAUUCCCGGGACGCCUCAGAUGCAUAUCAAUGAAGGAGGGGCUUUUGAUCAAACCACACCAAGCUUUACAAACACAUCUGAUUUUCAACAGGGAUUUGACGGGCAAUCUCAUGAGGAUCUCCAUCAUCACUUCCUCGGGCAGGUCCAUCCUACAAUCUUGGUGGAAGCGGUUUCCUAUACUAUGUAUAUAAGUCUGUUGAUUGUUGUGUUUCUGAAGGGGAAACAAAGAGGUUAAUAUUGGUGGGCGGGUCUUAGCUAUAGGAGGGUGUGUUUCUUUUUUCCUUCAAAAUAUGUACGAGGGAUGUCCAGCAAACUAUAGGGUAGACUUUUGCUUGAAAAUUUGUAUGUACUUUACAUAUGGAUGGUCAUUAGCUCCGAAAUUUGUCCGAGGAAGGAUUUCUGUUACAUUUGGAUGGUCUUUUCCAUGUCAAACUACUCUUAGCUUUCCAUUCUAAAUCCUAAUGGAACUAAAACACGCCUAAUUUCCCUUUGAUUCCGAUAGAACCUUCAAAUCCUCCAAACUCCUCUCUACUUUGUCUGCUUUCCAACUGUUAAUCUUUCCGGCCAAAGCUCUUUCGUGCUCUCUACCUUUUUUUUUAAAAAAAAAAAAAAAUCUGGGGCGCGCUUUCAUAUCAUAAGCAUGGAGUUCGAGAAAAUCCUGGAGUAGGAUCAUCAAUGCUCAAGCAGAGCUUGGGAAUGCUGGGAAGUGCUUUUAGGCACUAACUAACAGGAAAAUUUUUCUUCUCACCCUUUCAAUGCUCAAGCAAAAUGAGCAAACCAAGCAUGUUUUCGUAGUACUAAAUGUUUCUUACGAUGCCAAGUAAAUACUCCCAUCUCCCAGCAAGAAAUUCAGAAAAAAAAAAAAAAACUUGACAAAGAAAAGAAAACUUGGAUUAUAGACAGAAAUACUUUACCAAGUUGUCUGCGUAAAAAUUUAGUACAGUUGCAGGGCCACUUAAGAGCAAGUACAGUUGAUCUUUGCCCCUUCUACCUAAAUAAGCAUAAUCCUGAUACUACAAGUUACAAUAACGCCUCUGGCUUACUUAGACUAGAGUAAUUUGAGAAAAUAAACUUGCACUCUGUCAGGCAUAGCAGCAUGGCUAAAACUAUAGUUAUGACAAUUAGUACACCUAAGCUAUCGAGGCAAGUGAUGCAGCCCUCGAAUGCACCCAGGAUAUCACAUCUUCUCGAGUUGCCACAAAGAGGCCUGCUUUAUCUUCCCUCAGUUUAAAAGGAGCAGCAAGCUUCUCCGCAUGUGAAGCAAAUGCGUUGGCCAAACCUUGAGAGUACUUGUGACUUCCUGCUCCAGUGCUUGCAGAUAGCACUUCUGGCAAUGCCUCUCGGCGCUGGACAAGUUUUGUUAAGGUUUGCAUCCAUUCUUCCAAUGCAGUAUGUGCUGCACCAACGGAGAGUGAUCGGACAUUUAAUCGCCAUUCCUCCUCAGUCCUAGUAUGUAAACCUGGAUAUAAUCCAUACAUUGUCCCCAAAUAAAGAAGCUCAUGAGCUCUCUCACGGAGAUUUCUGUUCCGAAAAAUAUCAAUCAAGCAAUUACAGAAAGGCCUCCUUGCAUCAACAGCAGUGUUGCUGAGUAUUCCUUUGAAUUCCUGUUUCACAUUCUCAAACUUAGUAUCUUCUUCUUCCAACGACUUGAUAAAGGCAACCAAAUUUUGGUUAGCCUUGUGUAAACACGCAAGGACCUUGUUUACAUCUUCACCUUCACAGUAGGACACGACGGACAGCAAACACCCACAAAGCCUGUCAUCUGGUUUGAUACCACCAUUGACUGAACUCUCAAACACCUGAACCAAAUCAUCAAUUCUCUUCGCUCUUCCUAGGCACUGAAUCAAACAUGUACAUCCCAUGACAUUGAGCUCAACACCCUUCUCGGACAUCUCCUCAAACAUCCUCAUUGCCUUGUCAGCAUUCCCACCACUGCCAUAUAUAUUAAGCAUCGCAGUAUAGCUCCAGCUGUCCGGUUUACGGCUUUCAGAUCCCUUCAUAUCCUCAAACAGCCUCUCAGCCUCUUCUUCCAACCCAAGAUCAGCACACAUGCUCAACAAAGAAUUAUACAAUAUGAAAUCCACAGGCCAUCCAUUCAAUCUCAUCCGAUCCCAAAGCUCCAAAGCAUCUUUAGCCCAUCUUGCCUUCCCAUAAAUCCUAAUCAAUGCUGUUAGUGUCUUUUCAUUCGGGGUAAUCCCUGAAUCCAACAUUUCCUCAAACAAACUCCUAGCCAGUCCAGGCUUCCCGGCCUUACCCAUUGCUUCCAGUAGUGUAUUAUACACAACUAAAUUAGGUUGUACCCCAAGUGACUUCAUUUCUUCCAAAACAUACCUUAUACCAUCAUAAUCCCCUGCUUCACCGAACACCUUCCCCAACACAGCAAAGGCAAUAGGAUCAGGCUUCCAACCACUGGCCCUCCCUCUCUCAUACAAACUCAUCACCUCCUCAACUUUCCUCAGCUUUGCAUAAACAUCAAGAACAGCAGAGUAAGUCACCUCAUCAGGCAUCAGCCCAGUUUUAUACAUCCUCUCAAACCACUGGACCGCCUUAUCGAAAAGAUUACAUCUUUUUGCACAAGUGAUGAUAGUAGAAUAAGUAAUAUUAUCGAGCUCAACCCCAUUUUCAAUCAUCUCAUUAGCAAGGUUCUCCACGUGCUGAAACUGCCUGCCAAACCUCAAAGACUUCAUUGUCACAUUAUAAAAGAUUGUUUCUAGAGGAAACAAAUUCAGAGUCUUAAUCCAAUUGAAAAAAAGAAGAGUCUUUUGCCAACUUCUCAAACUGUUGAGCACCAGCAGGGCAUUAUCUCUAUUGGGUGGAUGUGGGAUUUCUUCAAGAAUUGCCUGAAAAGCAGCGUCAUCAGCAGGGUCACAAUCAUUGAGUUUCUUGGCAAAGUGUUUGAGGUCUCUGAUUUGAGGAUUGUAGGAAUAAGAAGAGCGCUUCUGGCGUUGGAGAGAGAGGACAGACGGCUUUGGCUUUGUGGGAUUGACCCAUACGGACUUAGGUUUGGAUAAGAGUUGAUGGGAUUCAUUUGGUCGGUCAGAAAGAAUGGUGUUGGAGAGAGGCUUCAGCUGCUCGGAUAAAGAUGGGGUUUUUCUCUUUCGGGAUUCUGCUUUUCCUGGAGCAGUUUUUGGAGGAGAUUUGGAUGAAGUGCAAAAAAUGGUGAACUUUUUGGUGGAGAUUCUCAACGGAGAGGUGAAAUGUGGGGGCUGAUUUUUGUCUGAAGGAUAUGAUAUGUUGCAGUGGUGAACAUCUAAAACGGCUGAGAGUUUUGCAGCCAUGGCGAAAUGGGGAGGUGAGGUGAUGCCGGGUUUUGGUUUCUGGGAAGAUGGGGGUUUGGGUUUAACCAAAGGAAUAUCUAUCCAUUCAAUUCAUGCUUGACAGUCUUAACAAUGACAUGGAUAUUUUUUUGGGUUUGGGAGACCUUAUCCAGUGACAGUCAAGUGAUUCUCUGAAUGUAAGCCCCAGCAAUAAAAGCUUUACAAAUAAAAACAUUCGCGGUAAGAUUGGGAAAAAGAUGUUCCAUUAAAAGGGGUUGGGAGUAAUGAUUAUUAAUGGAAGAGGAACUGUUGACAUAGGAAAAUGAUAGCCAAAAUAAAUUACGGACUUAAAAAACAAGAUUUCAAAAGCUGUGGAGGAUUUCAAGUGGGAAUGGUAGGAUAAAUGUUGGUCAAAGAAAACCAUGUAUGCAAAGUUGUUGAAUUCCCGAAAGAUUAUAAGGGGACUAAAAUGAAGAAGAGAAGGGAUUAUUUAAGUAUACAGAGAUUUCAAAUUUGCAUGGAGAUUGGAGUGUCGAAAGAAGGAUAAAACUUGGUUUCCACUAAAAUUUGAAAAAGAUUAGGGGUCAGAACUCAGAAGGGGAAAGGGCUACAGAGGGAAGAGUAAGGGAUGGAAAAGAAUUUUAUUGAAUUCACCAAAAAGAGCAGAAAAGAUUAGAGGUAUUGAAAAUGGCAGAGGAACUAAAGUGUAGAGGAAAGAAUAUGUAAUCUAAAAAAAGGAGACACAGAAAAUGCGUUAUAAAUUCACGAGUUGUUGCUCCCUUAAUUUCAUGUGCUGGUAAAAGGUAAAGACCGAAGGCCAGUACCUGUCCUUGGAUGCGGGGAAAACUGAACUGAAUAACCUGUCAACGCGAUUUGGGAUUGGAUUAAAACUUCAAUGGUUUUGCUAAUGCAAUUUUGUUUGACCAUUUCAUGUUUUAGAGAGAUUCUUUGGUGGAUGCAGACUGCAAUCGUUAUGUUCAUACGCACCAAAUAAUAGAUGCACUAGCACAACAGAGGUUAACACUGAUACAACAAUUGCAAGGAGGACAAAGAUAGUAACGCAUUAAAUUGUGCUUGAACUUAUGGGCAGCGUUAUUGGUAUUACAAAAAUGUGGUGAAAAAUCAUGAUAUUCGAUACAAGAUCCUGUACUAUUAAUCAGCCUCAACUCCUAAGAAGAAGUUUUCUUAUAUGAUUCUCAACUCU